CUUCUGGGCAGGGCCAUCAUCACUUUUGGGGGGAGUGGGAAGAGGAAAGGCAAAAGAAAACAGGGCAGAUUUCUUUACCUGAAAGGAUUUUGAAGUGAAAAUCUCACGAGCUAAUUAGAACCUUCCUAGUGCUCACUUUUUCUUUGUACUGCCUUCCAUCUGAAUAGUAACAACCCAGUCAGUCUUUCCGAGUCACGUUCACUAAAUGUCGGUAAUAUGCUGUCCUUACUGUAUGUAUUUAUAUUUUUUCUGAAUAUGUAAAAGCCUUUAGUACAAAGCAGGGCUGGUUUUGCUCUAAGAAGCAUGCAGACAAACCUGAAUGUUUGUCCUGACUCUUGAUUAAGCAGUGAGCACUGAAUUGCAAAGGUGAAGAAGGAUCAUGUAAGGAAGGAUAACGUAAUAAGACAUCAAAUUGCUCCGGAGUGGAGGCAGAGCAGAGAGAUCCUGUUCAUUGUAAUACCUGCUACUCCAUGUUCCAGCUGCUGGGAGAGGAGCUCGGUGUGUGGCUAACCACCCAACUGCCAGACCGGGAGCUUUCUACUUGUGUGGGCAGAACUUACAUCCCCGAAUCAGCGCCUUCAUCACAACUUCUCAUACUGCUCUAUAAAGCUUCAGUGUGUCCUUAGUGGUCUCAGCAGUCCCAGACAUGGAGCAGAGGGUCAGGGCAUACCCUGGUUUCCCAAUAAGGCUGUGAUGCUGCUGUAGUCACAUUUGUAAUCAUAACGAACUUCUCCAGUUUGUGGCACUGACUCACUGGAUGGAACAAAAUGUUGACAGGCUUUAAGUGUCCAGAAAUGUGUGUACAGUCCUGGCUACACCGUGUUUGAAACAUAACUAGCAAUAGCUGUGUUUUGAAAUGUUGCUCUCUCAGUUUCUCUGACCAAUGGCCCAUGUUUUAUUUUUCCUAUAAACCACGCUAGCCAAACACGGUGAUGCACCAGGCUCCUAGGCCCUGAGCACUUCGUAGAACACUUUUAUAGGCUUGAUACAAGCUUGUGUGUAAGGAAAACAUCCCUAUCUGCAUUCAUCAGGAGAAAUGUGCAAAGCCAGCGUUAACCAUAGCUGUUCUGAAGUCCUCCACAGCUGCCCCUGACAUACUGGAAGCAUGCCUACAGAUCAAGCAUUCCUGGAUGAUUUAAUAACUUCAUACAUUAAAGUUUGCAGUUAACGUUCGGUGUGAUACUGAAUUCAGUGUUACACUGGCGGACAGGUGAUGAAUGGGCUGAUACAAAAGCCACAUUCCUCUCUGAGGACAUGCACAUUUAGGAUGCUGGGCAUGCUUCUCGGCUGCCAGCCUGCUCCUCUAGGGCAUUCCCUCUUGUCUUGCAUCCCAGGGUCUGUGGAAGUAUUUGGGGUGAUGUGAGGAAGGUGAUCUUUCUGGGGAGCUGGCUUGGCAGGAGGCAGGGGGAUGCUAUUUGCAGUGUCUGCAUUCCCUGUCAGCGAAGCUCAGCAGCCCAGGUGAAAUCUUCUGGCCAGGUACCCCUUGCAGCAGAGAGCACCUGAAUUACCACUUUUCUUACUCUGUGAAGAUAAGAAUUUCUAACUGCUUCCUCAACGUGACAUUUUCCAUCUCCUUAGCUCAGGCUGUUCAAUUAUUGCUUAUAACUUCACCUACCAAGGUGGUUUCGGUGUGCUGUUUGGGUGAACCUUUAGACCCCUAACACCUCAAGCAAAAUACUCCGAGAAACAAUUUUGCCAUCUUCUAUUCCCCUGCCCUGCGAGUGCUUUGUUGCACUGUUGCUGAACUCAGUGAAUUUCCUUUGCCUCUGGACGUUUGGCACUCUGCCACCUGCUUCCUCUCGAGCAAGGGACCAGCAAUUCGUGGGAUGGAUGCUGCGAUGGGAGAGCCCGCGGAGCUCCCAGCCCCCAGCAGGAGCAGGGCAGCUGGCACAGCCCCUGCUCCCGCCUCCGUUUGGAGGCCUGCAGUUUCCCAGGGCUGUCACUCCAGCAACUUUCACCAGCAUUAAAAUCACUUAGAAUUUAAAAACAAACAAACAAGGAUAUGUGAAGUAUUUUCCUGGAAGAAAGCCACGGAGAGCCGAUGCAGUGCAUCUCCCUCCCUCCUUCCCAUCUCCCUGAGCCUGUCGCAGGAGGGAAGCCUGGAGUUCAGUGUUUCCCUAAUGUGGGAUUAAAACAAGCUCUGGGACUGGUUUGUGGGAUAGGGAAGGCAGGAGCAUCAGGGAGACUGUGCACGUAUAUUUGUGUGUGUGUAUAUCUCAGGCUAAACUUAUCAGAAUCCUUGAACCAACAUUGAACAUCAGUACUAAUGUGUCUUUUUAUUAACGAAAGGGCUGCUUGUUUGCUCUUAAUAAUGGGAGAUCAGAGCUGUUGGCUGAAGUAGAGGAGGAUAAGAAGUGACUAAUGCCAGAGGAACAGCCAUGCUGGUCUUCCACAUACUGAAAGGUAGCGAUCCUGUAUCUUCUGUAUUGUACAAACCCUGGACAACCUUUAUAAGUUCUUUCCUUUCCCCAAAUCCAAAUAUGUUUUCCUCUAAUGCUUCAGCAGGUGAUGUUUUAUAAAGACAACA